UUUAUCUUGACAGAUUAAAUGUGUCAAAUUUAGAAUUUGAAUAUGAUAAGUGAUAUCAGAUAAAA
rnacentral:tRNA from 1 species